AAACCGAGUGUUCGCGGUGUGACCAUCAUGAACGGACAGUGCACGCCUUCCGAAGUCUGAGAUAAAUACACUACUGAGGGUAAAAACGGCGUGGCUCCGGGCGAGCUGCGAGUAAGAAGACCAACGUUUCAGAAUUACCUGCUGCCUCCAUCAUCAGGAUGUUCAUGUGAAGUAAAGGUUGUGUUGGAACGAUCCGAAUCAAAACGAUAUUACCCAGAUGAUUCCUUAAUUACAAUCCCCUGAGCAGUUAUCAAGGCGGAAAAUGAAGACAGAAGGAAGGAAAGACACAAAUUCUACAUUUUAUGAACGUUCUACAAAAAAUUUCUUGAAACUUCCGGUCCUGAGCCAGCGAUCCAUUACGAGGAUUCAAGAAAAUAUAAACGUCACAAAAACUAAUACUUAAAUUUUCUAAAACUUACUAGAGUUAAGAUACAUUAAUUAAGCGGCAUAUACAGUUGUAAUUAAAAGAGUAAAAUUUAUAUUUCUCUCUUCACAAAGCACAAAAGCCACUAUUGACCACAAGGAGUUUAAUACAUGUUUUCUUCUGAGGAGAGACACAAGUUCUUUAAAUUUUAUCAAAAAUUCGUAAAUUCUAAACAAUGCAAAUGAACAGACGUUAAUCCACAGAUCAUCUACCUAAUACUUUGUAAGAUAAUUAUUAUAAAUACUGGUGGAACACGAUGCCAAUUGUCAUUUUAUUUAGAUAUUAUACUAAACAGUGAACCAGA